rnacentral:lncRNA from 1 species
GCAGGGGAAUACUUGAGCAUUAUACAUCACCGGCAUUGGGAGUGGAAAUGUCGACAUUAUCCCCCAACGCUGCUCUCUCUUUAUUAUUGACGCCCUGGACAUCACCAAGACGAGGGACAUCAGUAUUCCCUUGGUCAGUCUGGAUUUUUCGGGUGAGUCUUUCUGGUAUCCAAAGUGGGUUGUCUUCAUUCUGUGGGAAAACACAAAUAGCUCCCCUGGAUCUUAUCAAAAUAGGAUCUGGGCCAUACCAUUUAUUAUCAAGGACAUUUUUUCAUUUAACCAUCUCAUUGGGCCUAUCUGGCUCUGAACAAUGACGUUUAGCCGCAGUAUGGCCAUGAGCAUCAAGAUUAAAAAAUUGAGUGUAAAGAGUGCCAUAGACACAGACACUCUUGGUACUCGGGGUAGAGUCUCGACUCCCCUCUUCUGCUUUAUUAGAUAGGCUUUGAGGGUGCGAUGCGCACACUCAACAAUACCCUGUCCUUGAGGGUUGUAUGGAAGUCCAGUCAGGUGGGUCACGUCCAUCUGACGGCAGAACUGCUGGAAUUUUUGAGAUGUAUAAGCUGGUCCAUUAUCAGUCUUAAGGAGUUUGGGUUUCCCCCAAGCACUCCAUGCCUCAAGACAAUGUUGAAUCACAUGUGAGGCUUUUUUUCCGGUUAACGGAGAAGCAAACAUGAUGCCAGAGCAUGUGUCAAUGGACACAUGUAAACAUUGAUUUUUCCCAAAGGAGGAAAUAUGCGUGACAUCCAUUUGCCAGACCUGUAAUGGCCUGACGCCACGAGGGUUUACCCCUACAUGAGUAGAUAAAAUUUGACAACAAUCUAAAGGCAUUAUUAAGUAAUCAGAAUCAUUUUCAGUAGAACCAAUCCCUCUGGCAGCUCAAGGAAUACCAGAGGAAGGAAAACAGCCAUGUAGGCUUGGCAAAGUUAUUAGUUGAGCUAUUCUGUCCCUUUGUGAUAUAGAAAAGACAACUUGAGGACAAGAACAGAGAACCUGAAGUUCCCCUUUACAAUCCUGAUCUACAACUCCAGGGUGGACAAUAAGACCUUGUAGGCUGCAAGAGCCUGCCUCUGUCUCUCUGGCCACAAAAUCUGAGAAGGACUCCUGAGGUUCCCUGGACGAUCUUUGUUAGUUGUCCAGUGGCUUCACCUGCUCGGGAGAGUGCCUUCCAGGCCCUAAUAGCCUUUUCAUCUGAUACAGAACUACUAAGAACUGGCUCCUUGAGCUCAUCUAGUGAUGAAUAUAGGCUCCUUCUCCUAGAAGCCUCCGCUGAUUGAUCUUUUUUCUUUUCUUUUUCCUUCUCCUUCCUUCCAAUCUCUCCCCAGGUAUUCUUACCUGACCUAAACUUUUCCUCGGGUUCAAGACCCGUGGAAAGGCCUGUAUACUUAUUUUGUGUACCAUAUUUCCUCUUUGCUCCUACUCUCUCUCCCCGCUUUACUUCUGAUAGAUUGCCCUGAAUUUCAUCCAGAAUUUUUAGCCCUGCCUUAACCGCUUGAUAACAUGUGAAAAGGAACAAAAGGGCUCCUAACACUAGAAAAAGUUUAAGGCCAAACAUACCUUGUAAAGCUAUUUCCCACUUUACUUCUGAUAGACUGUCUUGAAUUUCGUUAGAAAGUUCAAGGCCAGGCGUACCUUGUAAAGCUAUUCCCCACUUUACUUCUGAUAGACUGUCUUGAAUUUCGUUAGAAAGUUUAAGACCAGACUUACCUUGUAAAGCUAUACUUAUGGGUACCCUGUUCCCCAGCUGAAGAGUUCUGAAUUUACGCAGUUGAAUCUUUCUCAACAGUCUGUUUUACGGGAACACUUCAUUACCACCAUUCCCCAGCUGAAGAGUUCUGAAUCCACGCUGGAUCCUUUUCAACAGUCUGUUUUACGGGAACCUUUAUGACCGUGACCCGCAGUUCUGGUUCCGGAAUGAGGGAUCUUUUUUGCGCCGGUAAUGGUUAACUCCCGUCCCGAGUUUUCUUGUCCCGGGUUUUUUCUUCCCGGAUUUUCUCGUCCCGGGUUUCGGCACCAACUCUUACACGCGUUCGCGACCGGCCAGGAAAGACGCAACAAACCAGAAUCUUCUGCGGCAAAACUUUAUUGCUUACAUCUUCAGGAGCAAGCGUGCAAAACCCCCCAUUGCUUACAUCUUUAGGAGCCAGAGCGCCAGAGCGCCAGAGCGCCAGAGCGCAGAGCAAGAGCUCUAUUGUUUACAUCUUUAGGAGCAAGAGAGCAAGCCACCAAAGCCCCAAGCCCCAAAACGAAAGCGAAACCCCCUCCCUCUUAAGGAGAGUUAUCCUUCGCCUAGGACGUAUCACUCCCUGAUUGGCUGCAGCCCAUGGCCGAGUUGUGGUCACGGGGAAGGCAGAGCACAUGGGGUGGAGAACUACCUUUGGCACAUGCGCAGAUUAUUUGUUUACCACUUAGAACACAGCUGUCAGCGCCAUCUUGUAACGGCGAAUGUGGGGGCGGCUUCCCACAAAUAAGUUAUUUUAAACACCCCAAAUAUAAAGUAUUUUGUAGGUACAAAUAAAUGCAGGGAAAACCACAGUUGAUUAUUAUAAAUUAUAUAUAAUUUAUUUGGUUAAAUUACAUGUUUCCCUCAUUUUCUACCUUAACUUUGUUAAGGUGGACAAUAUUUGAUUAUUUUAAUUUUCAACAUAAUAUUCCUAUUAUAUGUGACAUAUAAAUGUCUUCUUAUGUCACAUAUAAAUGUUAUAUCGCAUAUAAGUAUUGUAUC